CCCUUCAGAGGGGGACAACAGUUGGAAACGACUGCUAAUACCGCAUACGACCUAAUCUCGGCACCGAGGAUAGAUGAAAGGUGGCCUCUACAUGUAAGCUAUCACUGAAGGAGGGGAUUGCGUCUGAUUAGCUAGUUGGAGGGGUAACGGCCCACCAAGGCGAUGAUCAGUAGCCGGUCUGAGAGGAUGAACGGCCACAUUGGGACUGAGACACGGCCCAG
rnacentral:rRNA from 1 species